UACAGAGGGUGCGAGCGUUGUUCGGAAUUACUGGGCGUAAAGGGCUCGUAGGCGGCCAACUAAGUCAGACGUGAAAUCCCUCGGCUUAACCGGGGAACUGCGUCUGAUACUGGAUGGCUUGAGUUCGGGAGAGGGAUGCGGAAUUCCAGGUGUAGCGGUGAAAUGCGUAGAUAUCUGGAGGAACACCGGUGGCGAAGGCGGCAUCCUGGACCGACACUGACGCUGAGGAGCGAAAGCCAGGGGAGCAAACGGG
rnacentral:rRNA from 1 species